rnacentral:rRNA from 1 species
AGCAGCCGCGGUAAUUCCAGCUCCAAUAGCGUAUAUUAAAGUUGUUGCAGUUAAAAAGCUCGUAGUUGAAUUUCGGGAUCAAUUUGCUGGUCGUGCCUUCGGUACGCACUGGUAUUAUUGGUUUCUCCUUUCUGAUGAAUCGCGAUGUCAUUAAUUUGGUGUCGUGGGGAAUCAGGACCGUUACUUUGAAAAAAUUAGAGUGUUUAAAGCAGGCUCACGCUUGAAUACAUUAGCAUGGAAUAAUGAAAUAGGACGUUUGAUUCUAUUUUGUUGGUUUCUAGGAUCGACGUAAUGAUUAAUAGGGAUAGUUGGGGGCAUUAGUAUUCAAUUGUCAGAGGUGAAAUUCUUGGAUUUAUUGAAGACUAACUACUGCGAAAGCAUUUGCCAAGGAUGUUUUCAUUAAUCAAGAACGAAAGUUAGGGGAUCGAAGACGAUCAGAUACCGUCGUAGUCUUAACCAUAAACUAUGCCGACUAGGGAUCGGAUGAUGUUAAUUUUUAAUGACUCAUUCGGCGCCUUAA